rnacentral:rRNA from 1 species
CCCGCACAAGCAGCGGAGCGUGUGGUUAAUUCGAUGUUACGCGAAAACCUUACCCGGGCUUGACAUGCAGGUAGUAGGGAACCGAGAGGGGACCGACUCUUCGGAGAGCCUGCACAGGUGCUGCAUGGCUGUCGUCAGCUCGUGCCGUGAGGUGUCCGGUUAAGUCCGGUAACGAGCGCAACCCUCGCCAUAUGUUACAAGUGUCAUAUGGGACUGCCGAUAUAAAGUCGGAGGAAGGUGGGAUGACGUCAAGUCAGCAUGGCCUUUAUGUCCGGGGCUACACACACGCUACAAUGGCCGGUACAAUAGGUAGCAAGACCGCGAGGUGGAGCCAAUCCUUAAAGCCGGUCUCAGUUCAGAUUGCAGGCUGCAACUCGCCUGCAUGAAGUUGGAAUCGCUAGUAAUCGCGGAUCAGCAUGUCGCGGUGAAUACGUUCCCGGGCCUU